rnacentral:lncRNA from 1 species
CUUCCACUUCAGAAGCAAAUAAAGAGGAAAUCAAAAUAUUUUAGUAUCAAGGCUUGCUUUUCUUCAAAUUUUCUCCUGCUCUUAAAAAACAGCCCAACAAAAAGAACUAUCCGGAGGGAAGGAGUAUUUUCGUACAAUGAGCCUGUUAUGCUAUCUGAAUGAGGAUUCAAUGAUCCGGUUAUUCGGGCCGCGUUUUCUGCUGCUGUAACAGUCACUGAGGGAAGAACAUUGCUGUGAUAUUUCACUGCCUCUUCUAGCUUCAUCCUCUGCUUGGACUGGAUUUUCGGAUGAGCUCGGUGUCCGGUCGGGGUAAGCUGCCCGUCGAACUCAGCACGCCAGCCAGGAGACUUCACGAAUUCCCUUCGUCCCUCUCCCUUUCCUACAUCCAAGGCCAGCAAUUUCAAAAGACAAUAAACAAACCACAGGCUCUGCAGUCUGCUUCUCAGCUGUCUUGGCAAGGUGGAUUCUCCGUGGAAACUCUGAUAAUCGCCUGCGAGUGCCGGGAAGGUGUCAACGCCGAAUGCGGGGAAGCAUCGGGCAGAAGGAAGGGUUCGCUCGGGAGCUGGGAGGGACUGGUGAGUCAGCCAGGCCUUGAAGAUUGCAGGGCACGGAAUAUUAUCCUCAAACAAGGGUCUCAUCUGGAGAGCUCCAGGCACGCUGGCGAUGGGCAGGAGACGCGAUCUUACCCGCUUCUGCAUUCCGGACAAGCGGCGCCAACGUUUCAAGUCAGCUUUUCACCUCCUUCUGUUCCUCGGUGAGAUUCAGGCUGGGGGUCUGGAGAUAUUGCUGAUAAACUCCUCAGAAAUGCAAUGAAGUAAGAAGGUGUUUGGGAGAGAAAGUGGACAGAGGUGAUUCCUAUUUUGUGUUCUUACUGUGAGGCUGGGAAGGAAG